rnacentral:lncRNA from 1 species
AGUGAGGCUAUUAGGAAAAUUGGGAUACCACACAUGUAUAUACCAUCUUCAAUGAAUGACAUGAUCCUUCUUCUUUAUAGGCACAUAUGAGUUAUUUAUCUAUAUAACAAAAUAUUUUGGUUAUUUCAUAAAAAAUAAAUUAUUUUAAUUAUAUAUAAUAAAAUAAUAUUAUUUAGUAUUUUUAUUAUUUAAUAUUGUUUCUUA